GUCUGGUGUCUGUCAGCUGCGAGGGCCGGACUUGUCCUUCUUCCUUGAAGCUCUUGGAGAAUCAACCUGAGAACAGCGAGAAAAUCAGUCUGUCAUUAGCCACCACUUGUGGUUAGAUUGUGGCAGGCUUGGAGAAGGCAAUGGGAGCCACUGACCCCGGAGCUGCUGUGUGCGGCAGCCCCAAAGGACUGGAAGUCAGCUCCCGGGUUCUGUGCCCGGCACCUGGCCUUCCGCGGGCCAUAAAACAGCAGUUUCCGGCCUGCUGGUUGGAACAGUGACUGUUACAACAUCCACAGCAGGAGAGAGACUUUGAAGGCUGUGUGGAGGAGCCUGAGCCCUCAAUUGACCAACCUGAGUUACAACCAGCCCUGGAGAACAAAUUGAGUUUGUAAGUCAAAGGUCCACAGAUUGGUCAGAACAGAAGUCUUGAGCUGCUGGAUUCUGAUUGGUGGAGCUUCGGGUUUUGUUUUGCUGUCCCUAUGGAGCUGGGUUCAGAACCGAGACACAGGGCCAUCUUGGCCUCAGGGCCUUCAAUGCUCAUUUUAACAAGAGGACGAGCAGGUGGGCGUCCACAUCCGGUAGCUGCUUCUGGCUGCUUCCUGCUCUGACUUCUGCAGGGGUGACCUUGGGGGGACAGGGUGAUGGGCCACCCACAUGUCCCUUUGCCUGACACAGUGGCUCCCUGGUUGCUGGGAAGGCUGCCACCCCUUCAGGGUCCGCCUCAGCUGCAGAGCCAGCCAGUCGAAGGGCGUGACAUCGCCCUGUGCCCGGGGAGGGAGACACAAAGGUGGCCAGCUGGCCAGACACUUGUGACAGUCACUUAGCUCCUGACACCUGUCCCCAGGCCUUCCUUCUUUCUCUGCCCCUCCCUCGGGAGGGUCCCCGGCACUCCUUAGCAAACAUCCUGCCUGUGAGCAACCCGUCUGUGCUCCCGCCUGCUCUCCUUCCUCAGGACAGUUCUGGGAGAGCAGCCUUGCACCCAGGAGCCUUCUCACAACCUUGGGCUUGGCUUGGCUUCCAGGUGGGCUGCCAUCUUGGACUCUCUCCAUGGCCUCCACAUCCCAAUCCUUGGGGCUGGUGGCUAUGGGUGGUGGGUUUUCUGGGCUAUUCCCAAGACCUCUGGCUAUCUCAUGACUGUAGUGAUUGUCACUCAGUGGCUUCUAGCACAGAGAGAAGCACUGCUUCUGCUCCACAGGAACUCAUUUGAUCAUAAAGCCCAAUCAUGGCCAAUCUUUUGCCAUCCAAGUCUCUCCUGCACCAGCUGGGAGUGAGCUUACCAGGCAUCAAAGGAAGACAGUGACGAAGUAAAUACAGAACACUGGUGUGUUCUUCUGUAAGGCUCUUCUGCCAGGAGAAGCUGAGAUGAUAAAAGGCCCAAUAAUCUUUUUGCUCAGUGCCGGAAGUUACUUAAUUUUAUUUAAAUCAGCCUGCAGAGUAGCAUGCUGGUGAACAGAGUUCUUCAAGGCAGACAGCCUUCACCCUGCCCUUCAUGCUCUGGCUCUGAAGGGAUUGGACACGUAAUGUGGGGUCUCUGUCCCCAAAUUCUGCGUCUGUGUAUCAGUGACUGAGUGUGUGUGUGUGUGUGUGUGUGUGUGUGUGUGUGUCUUGUCCCAGAUUAAGUACUUCACGGUGGCAGAUGGCCAAUUCUCCAUCCCAGGGGUUUACAUAUAAACAUUUUAACCACUUCAGGAUCC
ensembl:lncRNA